rnacentral:rRNA from 1 species
UGAUUUGUUCAUAGCCGCAGUACACCGGAUUGUGCAAGGUAGCAUAAUCAAUUGGCUCAUAAUUGGAGUCUGGAAUGAAGGAAGAUUAAGAAUAACUGUCUCUAAGCAUUAUCAAAAUUAAUUAUAAAGUGCAAAUGCUUUUAAUAAAUAUUAGACGAGAAGACCCUAGAAAUUUUUUGUUGGGUACAUGAACAUUUGUUGGGGCGACAAAGUAACAAACUAUUAACUUACUUAUUUUGUUUGAAGUAUAUAUACAGGAAGAAUAAAUACUCUAGGGAUAACAGCAUAAUUUUAAGCAAGUUUGUGACCUCGAUGUUGGAUUAGGGAGAGUAUAGGUUUAGAAGG